UCGUGAUAAGAUUCCAACAGGUUGUGAUGAGGUUCUGAUAGGUUGUGGUGCAAUUCCAACACAUUUUGAUAAGGUUUUGACAGGUUGUGAUGAGGUUCCGA